AUUUGUCUGGUUAAUUCCGAUAACGAACGAGACCUUAACCUGCUAACUAGAUUCUUUAGUAUUACUCUUGCAAUCUUCUUAGAGGGACUAUGUAAAACAAAUACAUGGAAGUUUGAGGCAAUAACAGGUCAGUGAUGCCCUUAUAUGUCCUGGGCUGCACGCGUGCUACACUGAUGCAUACAACAAGUGCCUAACCAGACAUGGUAUGGCAAUCUCGAAUAUGCAUCGUGAUGGGGAUAGAUCUUUGCAAUUAUAGAUCUUGAACGAGGAAUUCCUAGUAAGUGCAAGUCAUCAUCUUGCAUUGAUUAUGUCCCUGCCCUUUGUACACACCGCCCGUCGCUCCUACCGAUACCGGGUGAUCCGGUGAACCUUUUGGACUCUUUACUGGGAAAGAUAAGUAAACCAUAUCACCUAGAGGAAGGAGAAGUCGUAACAAGGUUUCCGUAGGUGAACCUGCRGAAGGAUCA
rnacentral:rRNA from 1 species